rnacentral:lncRNA from 1 species
UGGGGUUGUUGUUGCAAAUAUUUCAAUAAAGAUUAUAACCGAAUAAUUAUAUUGAUUAGUUAAUUGAUAGUUAAUGAGUCAAUGUAAUUAGAUAUAAAUACAUGGUUAUUGUAAUCUUUAUUCAUUCAAUUAAAUACAAAGUAUACUCCAGUUAAAACCCGGUUCAGACGACCGGUUUAGUCUGGUUUAAUUCAGUUGAUUCUCCAACGGCUACUUGGGGAUUUAACUCCUCUUUCAAUGGCUCUACCGGCGAUCACCGGAGCUCCUGCUGG